GACCCUGAUGAUGAACAUAACUGAAACUUUCGUUCUCCUGAGGCUAUCAAUGCUGAAAUCAUUGGAGACCUGAACUGAAGGGUU